UCGCUGUUUGGAAAGAUUUUUCGGUCUGGGAUGGGCUCGCGGCCUAUCAGCUUGUUGGUGAGGUAAUGGCUCACCAAGGCGUCGACGGGUAGCCGGCCUGAGAGGGUGACCGGCCACACUGGGACUGAGACACGGCCCAGACUCCUACGGGAGGCAGCAGUGGGGAAUAUUGCACAAUGGGCGGAAGCCUGAUGCAGCAACGCCGCGUGAGGGAUGACGGCCUUCGGGUUGUAAACCUCUUUUAGCAGGGAAGAAGCGAAAGUGACGGUACCUGCAGAAAAAGCGCCGGCUAACUACGUGCCAGCAGCCGCGGUAAUACGUAGGGCGCAAGCGUUAUCCGGAAUUAUUGGGCGUAAAGAGCUCGUAGGCGGUUUGUCGCGUCUGCUGUGAAAUCCCGAGGCUCAACCUCGGGCCUGCAGUGGGUACGGGCAGACUAGAGUGCGGUAGGGGAGAUUGGAAUUCCUGGUGUAGCGGUGGAAUGCGCAGAUAUCAGGAGGAACACCGAUGGCGAAGGCAGAUCUCUGGGCCGUAACUGACGCUGAGGAGCGAAAGGGUGGGGAGCAAACAGGCUUAGAUACCCUGGUAGUCCACCCCGUAAACGUUGGGAACUAGUUGUGGGGACCAUUCCACGGUUUCCGUGACGCAGCUAACGCAUUAAGUUCCCCGCCUGGGGAGUACGGCCGCAAGGCUAAAACUCAAAGGAAUUGACGGGGACCCGCACAAGCGGCGGAGCAUGCGGAUUAAUUCGAUGCAACGCGAAGAACCUUACCAAGGCUUGACAUAUACGAGAACGGGCCAGAAAUGGUCAACUCUUUGGACACUCGUAAACAGGUGGUGCAUGGUUGUCGUCAGCUCGUGUCGUGAGAUGUUGGGUUAAGUCCCGCAACGAGCGCAACCCUCGUUCUAUGUUGCCAGCACGUAAUGGUGGGAACUCAUGGGAUACUGCCGGGGUCAACUCGGAGGAAGGUGGGGAUGACGUCAAAUCAUCAUGCCCCUUAUGUCUUGGGCUUCACGCAUGCUACAAUGGCCGGUACAAAGGGCUGCAAUACCGUGAGGUGGAGCGAAUCCCAAAAAGCCGGUCCCAGUUCGGAUUGAGGGUUCUGCAACUCGACCUCAUGAAGUCGGAGUCGCUAGUAAUCGCAGAUC
rnacentral:rRNA from 1 species